rnacentral:rRNA from 1 species
GACGAACGCUGGCGGCGUGCUUAACACAUGCAAGUCGAACGGAAAGGCCCUGCUUUUGUGGGGUGCUCGAGUGGCGAACGGGUGAGUAACACGUGAGUAACCUGCCCUUGACUUUGGGAUAACUUCAGGAAACUGGGGCUAAUACCGGAUAGGAGCUCCUGCUGCAUGGUGGGGGUUGGAAAGUUUCGGCGGUUGGGGCUGGACUCGCGGCUUAUCAGCUUGUUGGUGGGGUAGUGGCUUACCAAGGCUUUGACGGGUAGCCGGCCUGAGAGGGUGACCGGCCACAUUGGGACUAAGAUACGGCCCAGACGCCUACGGGAGGCAACAGUGGGGAAUAUUGCACAAUGGGCGGAAGCCUGAGGCAGCAGCGCCGCGUGCGGGAUGACGGCUUUCGGGUGGUAAACCGCUUUCGCCUGUGACGAAGCGUGAGUGACGGUAAUGGGUAAAGAAGCACCGGCUAACUACGUG